rnacentral:rRNA from 1 species
CAGCAGCGCGGUAAUACAGAGGGUGCGAGCGUUAAUCGGAUUUACUGGGCGUAAAGCGUGCGUAGGCGGCUUCUUAAGUCGGAUGUGAAAUCCCUGAGCUUAACUUAGGAAUUGCAUUCGAUACUGGGAAGCUAGAGUAUGGGAGAGGAUGGUAGAAUUCCAGGUGUAGCGGUGAAAUGCGUAGAGAUCUGGAGGAAUACCGAUGGCGAAGGCAGCCAUCUGGCCUAAUACUGACGCUGAGGUACGAAAGCAUGGGGAGCAAACAGGAUUAGAUACCCGAGUAGUCCCUGUCUCUUAUACA